UUCCGGUUGAUCCUGCCGGAGGACAUUGCUAUUGGGAUUCGAUUUAGCCAUGCUAGUCGAACGAGUUCACACUCGUGGCACAUAGCUCAGUAACACGUGGCCAAGUUACCCUUCAGUCGGCAAUACCCUCGGGAAACUGAGGCUAAUAGCCGAUACGAAACAGACGCUGGAAUGCACUGUAUUCCAAAGACAUCGCUGAAGGAUGCGGCUGCGGCCGAUUAGGUAGACGGUGGGGUAACGGCCCACCGUGCCAGUAAUCGGUACGGGUGAUGAGAGUCAGAGCCCGGAGACGGAAUCUGAGACAAGAUUCCGGGCCCUACGGGGCGCAGCAGGCGCGAAACCUUUACACUGCACGAAAGUGCGAUAGGGGAAUCCCAAGUGCGAGGGCAUAUUAGCCCUCGCUUUUGUUGACUCUAAGGCGGUCAACGAAUAAGAGCUGGGCAAGACCGGUGCCAGCCGCCGCGGUAAUACCGGCAGCCCGAGUGAUGGCCGAUCUUAUUGGGCCUAAAGCGUCCGUAGCUGGCUGCGCAAGUCCGUCGGGAAAUCCACUCGCCCAACGAGUGGGCGUCCGACGGAAACUGCACAGCUUGGGACCGGAAGGCUCGAAGGGUACGUUCGGGGUAGGAGUGAAAUCCCAUAAUCCCGCACGGACCACCGAUGGCGAAAGCACUUCGAGAAAACGGAUCCGACAGUGAGGGACGAAAGCCAGGGUCUCCAACCGGAUUAGAUACCCGGGUAGUCCUGGCCGUAAACAAUGUUCGCUAGGUAUGACACAGACUACGCGUCUCUGUUGUGCCGUAGGGAAGCCGAGAAGCGAACCGCCUGGGAAGUACGUCUGCAAGGAUGAAACUUAAAGGAAUUGGCGGGGGAGCACUACAACCGGAGGAGCCUGCGGUUUAAUUGGACUCAACGCCGGACAUCUCACCAGCUCCGACUACAGUGAUGACGACCAGGUUGAUGACCUCAUCACGACGCUGUAGAGAGGAGGUGCAUGGCCGCCGUCAGCUCGUACCGUGAGGCGUCCUGUUAAGUCAGGCAACGAGCGAGACCCGCACCCCUAAUUGCCAGCAACAGUUUCGACUGGUUGGGUACAUUAGGAGGACUGCCAGUGUUAAACUGGAGGAAGGAACGGGCAACGGUAGGUCAGUAUGCCCCGAAUGAGCUGGGCAACACGCGGGCUACAAUGGCUAAGACAAUGGGUCGCUAUCUCGACAGAGAACGCUAAUCUCGAAACUUAGUCGUAGUUCGGAUUGAGGGCUGAAACUCGCCCUCAUGAAGCUGGAUUCGGUAGUAGCCGCCUUUCAGUAGAAGGCGACGAAUACGUCCCUGCUCCUUGUACACACCGCCCGUCA
rnacentral:rRNA from 1 species